AUGCAUCCGACAGCUAUGAACGAUUCGUUUGCACGGCAAACAUUCAUUAAAUCCUAAUAAACGUGACAGAAAAUUAAUCCUUCGCCGGCAAUAUGAGUUUUAAUUUUUCUGCACUAAGAAAAAAAUUUGAUUAAAGUAAUGAUAUAUUUUCUAUAAUUAAUACACAUCUUUUUGGUAUAUAUAAUUUGAAGAAACAUACUAUCUAUUUUAUUCUUUAUGAAUAAAUUGUUAAUUAUUCAGCAAGAAAUGAUUGACAAUUAAUUGAUGAAUCGACAUCAAAUUGAAAUCAUAUCGAAAUUAUAUCGAUUCGACAUCAAAUCAAUGACUCUUUUCUCACUGGAUAAUAUUUACUUUUUAAAAAUAAAAUUUUUUUUCAAAAA
rnacentral:sRNA from 1 species